GACAGAGGGGGCAAGCGUUGCUCGGAAUUACUGGGCGUAAAGCGCGUGUAGGCGGCCCUGCAAGUCGGAUGUGAAAUCCCACGGCUCAACCGUGGAAGUGCAUUCGAAACUGCAGGGCUAGAGUCCUGGAGAGGAAGGUGGAAUGCUUGGUGUAGAGGUGAAAUUCGUAGAUAUCAAGCGGAACACCGGUGGCGAAGGCGGCCUUCUGGACAGUGACUGACGCUGAGACGCGAAAGCGUGGGGAGCAAACAGG
rnacentral:rRNA from 1 species